GAUGAACGCUGGCGGCGUGCUUAACACAUGCAAGUCGAACGAAACACCUUAUUUGAUUUUCUUCGGAACUGAAGAUUUGGUGAUUGAGUGGCGGACGGGUGAGUAACGCGUGGGUAACCUGCCCUGUACAGGGGGAUAACAGUCAGAAAUGACUGCUAAUACCGCAUAAGACCACAGCACCGCAUGGUGCAGGGGUAAAAACUCCGGUGGUACAGGAUGGACCCGCGUCUGAUUAGCUGGUUGGUGAGGUAACGGCUCACCAAGGCGACGAUCAGUAGCCGGCUUGAGAGAGUGAACGGCCACAUUGGGACUGAGACACGGCCCAAACUCCUACGGGAGGCAGCAGUGGGGAAUAUUGCACAAUGGGGGAAACCCUGAUGCAGCGACGCCGCGUGAGUGAAGAAGUAUCUCGGUAUGUAAAGCUCUAUCAGCAGGGAAGAAAAUGACGGUACCUGACUAAGAAGCCCC
rnacentral:rRNA from 1 species